GGCGCCAUCACUGCAGAGCUGGCACCGGAAGGCUGAAGGGAUCGGAAGGCUGAAGGGAUCAGAACGCCUCAAGUAACGCCGACCUGAUGGUUAGGGCGGAGGGACCCGGUUCUUCCAGGACACAAACCAGCCUCCCCUUAGGCCCAAGUGGUGGAUUCCAGAAGGAAGAACUUGCUGACGACGACAAUCAGCUUGCAACAGCGGCGGCGAGCUGCGCGUGGCUGCAGGUCUCUAGAGUCCACCCCAGGCCCUUUCCCGACCACCUCUGGGGGCGCUGGCGCUGUCCUCUGUCUGUUGUGCGAGGAGUCCCCAGGAGUUUCACCGGCCUGAGAGGGAAAAGGGGGCCUUCGACCCUCUUCAGAAAGUCCUUUCCUUUCCACGAGUAACACCUUCAUCAGAUGGUUCCAAGAAGUGACAAGUUGAAGGUCAUGAUCCUUUUGCUGACACAGAGCCUGGCACAUGGAGGCACCAAAUGCAUGUUAGUCUAGGCACUGUGGAGGAGCUCAGAUUGUGUUUGUUGAUUGACUGAGUGAGCAAAUGAAGAACGACUAAACCAAGCACAAAGCUGGGCGUCCUAAGGUGGAGCUGGGCUAAGGAAAGUGACUGUCUCUAGGGCCUUCACAAUUGAGGCAGGACCUUAUCCACCAUUUGACCAGGGUGAGGAACUGUGCAGGGCACCCAGGUGUGACCCAACCAUGUCCAUUGUUCCUCUCUGUCCCUUUGAUGGACAGCCUGUACCCACGACACUCUUUCCAGAUGCUGCCUGCAUCCUAGUUCCCUGUCCUAUCACCUCUGCAUGGAAAGAUGUGGAGUUGGCCACAUUGAUCCCAACACCAAUGGGAUCACCUGAGGAUGGAUCUGGUGACUGACCUUGUGCCUUCUCACAGUACAGGCUUUGGGAUCCACAGCAACCCAGGCAGAGUUUGUAACAGUGCAGGUUCCCAGGCCCCAUCCCAGACUGCCUGAGUCACUCUGGGCCUGAACCCAGGAAGAGUUAACCAUCUGGAGACUGUAGAUUGUAACAAUUUCCUUGGGUGACUUCCAGGCAGGCUAAAGUGUAAGAAAGGGUGCCAUGAAUCAGCAAAACAGCCAGCACUUCAACUUGCAACCUGAGCAUCCCACAGGGGUCCCAGCCAUCGUAGUGCCAGCUACAUUUGCUGAAGUGUGAGGCCUGGACUGCAGGCAGGCUCCAGGCCAACCCUUCCUUGCAUGACUUGCUCAGGGAUCUGUAUGACAUGCUGGUGCCAUUCUCUCCAUUUUACAGAUGAGGGACCAGAGGCCCAGAGCACUGAAGUACCUAGCUAAAAAGCUGGAACACCAUAUUACCCUGCCUCCCUGACAGCUUUCCUCCAUCCAAGUGGCCCAACUGUGGUUCAGAAAAUACAGCCUCAUUAAAG
rnacentral:lncRNA from 10 species